AAUCAACGCUGGCGGCGUGCCUCAGACAUGCAAGUCGAACGAUUAAAGCUCUCUUCGGAGAGUGCAUAGAGUGGCGCACGGGUGAGUAACACGUAAGUAAUCUACCCUCGAGUGGGGAAUAACGUCCGGAAACGGGCGCUAAUACCGCAUAAUGCAGCGGCAUCAUAAGAUGACAGUUGUUAAAGAUUUAUCGCUUGAGGAGGAGCUUGCGGUAGAUUAGCUAGUUGGUAAGGUAACGGCUUACCAAGGCUACGAUCUGUAACCGGUCUUAGAGGACGGUCGGUCACACUGACACUGAAUAACGGGUCAGACUCCUACGGGAGGCAGCAGUCGGGAAUGUUGGGCAAUGGGCGAAAGCCUGACCCAGCAACGCCGCGUGAAGGAUGAAGUAUUUCGGUAUGUAAACUUCGAAAGAAUAGGAAGAAUUAAUGACGGUACUAUUUAUAAGGUCCGGCUAACUACGUGCCAGCCGCCGCCGUAAUAC
rnacentral:rRNA from 1 species